UACGAAGGGGGCUAGCGUUGCUCGGAAUCACUGGGCGUAAAGCGCACGUAGGCGGCUUCUUAAGUCAGGGGUGAAAUCCUGGAGCUCAACUCCAGAACUGCCUUUGAUACUGAGGAGCUCGAGUCCGGGAGAGGUGAGUGGAACUCCGAGUGUAGAGGUGAAAUUCGUAGAUAUUCGGAAGAACACCAGUGGCGAAGGCGGCUCACUGGCCCGGUACUGACGCUGAGGUGCGAAAGCGUGGGUAGCAAACGGG
rnacentral:rRNA from 1 species